UACAGAGGUCCCAAGCGUUGUUCGGAUUCACUGGGCGUAAAGGGUGCGUAGGCGGUCGGGUAAGUCUGACGUGAAAUCUCCAAGCUCAACUUGGAAAUGGCGUCGGAUACUAUUCGGCUUGAGGAAUGGAGGGGAGACUGGAAUUCUCGGUGUAGCAGUGAAAUGCGUAGAUAUCGUAAGGAAGACCAGUGGCGAAGGCGAGUCUCUGGACAGUUACUGACACUGAGGCACGAAGGCCAGGGGAGCAAACGGG
rnacentral:rRNA from 1 species